CUUCCAUUUGGAAGAUUACGCUCCUCCUCCUCUCUCCCCUUCUCUCACUCUCUCUCUUGGUGGCAAUUCGGCGGAAGACAAGAACAAAGAAAGCGAAGGGAAGUUUUUGAAAUUGGGUGAGAGAGAAGAGGCUGUUUUCUGUAUCCAGAGGGCUUUGGGUGUAGAUCGAUACGUGCGAGCGGUUUUGGUGCCGGAGAAGUUGUAAUCUGUUAGAAAUGUCGGAGGAGGAGAAGCUGUUGAAGGAGGCGAAGAAGCUGCCAUGGGAGGAUCGGCUUUUGCAUAAGAACUGGAGGGUCAGGAAUGAGGCUAACAUCGAUCUCGCUGCCUUCUGUGACUCCAUCACCGAUCCCGAGGACCAUCGCCUCCGAGAACUCGGAUCUGAGCAAGAUAAGGAGCCUGAGCCAGAAGCUGCAUCUGAGGUUGGGGGUGCUGCUGGCCCACCCGAGGAGCCUGUUGCUGAUGGUCGUUAGCUCGUGCUUCGAUCGGAUUUUCUUCACCAAGUAACAUUUGGAAAAGUAGCUUGUACUGAUUUUCCUUCUAAUACAUGCUAUUAUCAGUUCCGCCGGAAAUAGAUGAAAAGCUACAAAAAGUGGUCAGAAUGUAAGGAAACUUGCUUCGACUUAGAAAAUCACACCGGGGGGAUUUUUCAGAAGCUUGCCAGACCUUAAAAAAGGUGGUUGGACUUUCCAAAAUAAGGAAUAAUGUUUACAAGUAUUAGACUUUGAUAUAGUGUUGCAUUUGCCUAAAUUUCGCAGGUUCUUAGUAUGGUUUUGGCUCUGAUGCUAAAGUAGUUUGGUAACACAUGUGCUUACAGACUAAAUGGAAUUUUGAUAUCAUGUGUCUUUUGCAAGCCCUUUAUCUAGAAUGACAGCUUUUGGUUAUGGUGAUAAUGCAAUGUGAACAUGGCCGUUGCAGUUGAAGCUAUCCAAGCCAUCGGUAAUCUUGCCCGUUGUCUAAGAACACAUUUCUCAGCGAGUUCAUGUUUACUGUUGGCUGUUUUACUUACAUUAAAUCAUCAGUAAAAAAACAAAGCUCCGCUUGUUUUGCCUUGAAACAAGUAAUAAGGCUCUUGUCCUGAAGGCACACAAAGAUUAUGUCCCAAUAUGCAUGGCGGUCAGUACUUAUGUGCUUAAAUUUCGCUUGUUUUUGUAUUGGUGUAACAUUGUUAUGAAUUGGAAACACAUGGUAAUAUAGGACAAAAGUAGCAAGCAGUGUUUCAAUCUGUUUAUGCAGCUGUAUGGUACAAAAAUACAGGACUGAAGUUAUGGUAAUAUAGGACUAUCAGAAAUCCACAUAGCUUUUGUAUUUCAGCUA